rnacentral:rRNA from 1 species
CCUACGGGCGGCUGCAGUGGGGAAUAUUGGGCAAUGGGCGAAAGCCUGACCCAGCAACGCCGCGUGAAGGAUGAAGGCUUUCGGGUUGUAAACUUCUUUGAUCAGGGACGAAAAAAAUGACGGUACCUGAAGAACAAGCCACGGCUAACUACGUGCCAGCAGCCGCGGUAAUACGUAGGUGGCAAGCGUUAUCCGGAUUUACUGGGUGUAAAGGGCGUGUAGGCGGGCUGACAAGUCGGAUGUUUAAUUCCCGGGCUUAACCCGGGCGGGUCAUCCGAAACUGUCGGUCUUGAGUACUGGAGAGGAUAGUGGAAUUCCUAGUGUAGCGGUAAAAUGCGUAGAUAUUAGGAGGAACACCAGUGGCGAAGGCGGCUAUCUGGACAGUAACUGACGCUGAGGCGCGAAAGCGUGGGGAGCAAACAGGAUUAGAUACCCCAGUAGUC